rnacentral:rRNA from 1 species
GACGAACCGUGCGAACGUUAUUCGGAAUCACUGGGCUUAAAGCGCACGUAGGCGGCUCUUUAAGUCGGGGGUGAAAUCCUGGAGCUCAACUCCAGAACUGCCUCGAUACUGGAGAGCUUGAGUUCGGGAGAGGUGAGUGGAACUGCGAGUGUAGAGGUGAAAUUCGUAGAUAUUCGCAAGAACACCAGUGGCGAAGGCGGCUCACUGGCCCGAUACUGACGCUGAGGUGCGAAAGCGUGGGAGCAAACAGG